AAAACAAAUGGAAAAACAAAUGUUUAACAUGAAUUUAUUUGAAUGAAAAUAUCAUUGCACAAAAUGUUGCCAACAAUGUCAUCACUUCUCCUUUUGGCAUGGGAGAAGGGUUUUUAAACAAAGUGAUUGUUACUCUGACUUAUGAACAACUGUAGGAACGCCCACAGUGACCCAAUUGUGACAGACACCACCAGGAAUGAUGAAAUUGU
rnacentral:lncRNA from 1 species